UUCUAACCGUAAACGAUGACAACCAGCGAUUAGUCGGCGUUAAUAUAUGACCCGACUAGCAGCUUCCGGGAAACCAAAGUUUUUCGUUUCCGGGGGAAGUAUGGUUGCAAAGCUGAAACUUAAAGGAAUUGACGGAAGGGCACCACCAGGAGUGGAGCCUGCGGCUUAAUUUGACUCAACACGGGAAAACUCACCCGGCCCGGACACCGUAAGGAUUGACAGACUGAGAGCUCUUUCUUAAUUCGGUGGGUGGUGGUGCAUGGCCGUUCUUAGUUGGUGGAGCGAUUUGUCUGGUUAAUUCCGAUAACGAACGAGACUCUGGCCUAUUAAAUAGACAUUGUAUUUAAAAGUACAAUGCGCUUCUUAGAGGGACAAGCGGCGUCUAGCCGCAUGAAAUAGAGCAAUAACAGGUCUGUGAUGCCCUUAGAUGUCCGGGGCUGCACGCGCGCUACACUGAAAGAAUCAGAGUGCGCUUUGCCUAGUUCGGAAGAACCGGGUAACCCAAGUAAAUUCUUUCGUGCUUGGGAUAGGGAAUUGCAAUUAUUUCCCUUAAACGAGGAAUUCCCAGUAAAUGCGGGUCAUAAGCUCGCGUUG
rnacentral:rRNA from 1 species